UACGGGGGGGGGCAAGCGUUGUUCGGAAUUACUGGGCGUAAAGGGCGCGUAGGCGGCCCUCUAAGUCGGACGUGAAAUCCCUCGGCUCAACCGGGGAACUGCGUCCGAUACUGGAGGGCUUGAAUCCGGGAGAGGGAUGUGGAAUUCCAGGUGUAGCGGUGAAAUGCGUAGAUAUCUGGAGGAACACCGGUGGCGAAGGCGGCAUCCUGGACCGGUAUUGACGCUGAGGCGCGAAAAGCUAGGGUAGCAAACGGG
rnacentral:rRNA from 1 species